UACGAGGGGGGCAAGCGUUGUUCGGAUUUAUUGGGCGUAAAGAGCGUGUAGGCGGCCUGGAAGGUCAGCUGUGAAAACUCGAGGCUCAACCUCGAGACGUCGGUUGAAACCACCUGGCUAGAGUCCGGAAGAGGAGAGUGGAAUUCCCGGUGUAGCGGUGAAAUGCGCAGAUAUCGGGAAGAACACCCGUGGCGAAGGCGGCUCUCUGGGACGGUACUGACACUGAGACGCGAAAGCGUGGGGAGCGAACAGG
rnacentral:rRNA from 1 species